GCUAUGGAGUAUGAUACCAAACGCUAGUAGCUAGUGAGUAAUCACAGCGAGAGCGCAUACGAUGAAAUAGCAA
rnacentral:sRNA from 12 species